rnacentral:rRNA from 1 species
UACGGAGGGUGCGAGCGUUGUCCGGAAUCACUGGGCGUAAAGGGCGCGUAGGCGGCUGGGGAAGUCGGCGGUGAAAGCCCGGAGCUCAACUCCGGGUCGGCCGUCGAGACUCCUCGGCUCGAGCUCACUAGAGGCAGAUGGAAUUCCGGGUGUAGCGGUGGAAUGCGUAGAGAUCCGGAAGAACACCGGUGGCGAAGGCGGUCUGCUGGGGUGAGGCUGACGCUGAUGCGCGACAGCGUGGGGAGCAACAGG